UAGGGAAUCUUCGGCAAUGGACGAAAGUCUGACCGAGCAACGCCGCGUGAGUGAAGAAGGUUUUCGGAUCGUAAAACUCUGUUGUUAGAGAAGAACAAGGACGUUAGUAACUGAACGUCCCCUGACGGUAUCUAACCAGAAAGCCACGGCUAACUACGUGCCAGCAGCCGCGGUAAUACGUAGGUGGCAAGCGUUGUCCGGAUUUAUUGGGCGUAAAGCGAGCGCAGGCGGUUUCUUAAGUCUGAUGUGAAAGCCCCCGGCUCAACCGGGGAGGGUCAUUGGAAACGGGGAGACUUGAGUGCAGAAGAGGGGAGUGGAAUUCCAUGUGUAGCGGUGAAAUGCGUAGAUAUAUGGAGGAACACCAGUGGCGAAGGCGGCUCUCUGGGCUGUAACUGACGCUGAGGAACGAAAGCGUGGGGAGCAAACAGG
rnacentral:rRNA from 1 species